rnacentral:rRNA from 1 species
CAGUCGACGCACAGCGAAAGGUGCUUGCACCUUUCAAGUGAGUGGCGAACGGGUGAGUAACACGUGGACAACCUGCCUCAAGGCUGGGGAUAACAUUUGGAAACAGAUGCUAAUACCGAAUGAAACUUAGUGUCGCAUGACACGAAGUUAAAAGGCGCUUUGGCGUCACCUAGAGAUGGAUCCGCGGUGCAUUAGUUAGUUGGUGGGGUAAAGGCCUACCAAGACAAUGAUGCAUAGCCGAGUUGAGAGACUGAUCGGCCACAUUGGGACUGAGACACGGCCCAAACUCCUACGGGAGGCUGCAGUAGGGAAUCUUCCACAAUGGGCGAAAGCCUGAUGGAGCAACGCCGCGUGUGUGAUGAAGGCUUUCGGGUCGUAAAGCACUGUUGUAUGGGAAGAACAGCUAGAAUAGGGAAUGAUUUUAGUUUGACGGUACCAUACCAGAAAGGGACGGCUAAAUACGUGCCAGCAGCCGCGGUAAUACGUAUGUCCCGAGCGUUAUCCGGAUUUAUUGGGCGUAAAGCGAGCGCAGACGGUUGAUUAAGUCUGAUGUGAAAGCCCGGAGCUCAACUCCGGAAUGGCAUUGGAAACUGGUUAACUUGAGUGCAGUAGAGGUAAGUGGAACUCCAUGUGUAGCGGUGGAAUGCGUAGAUAUAUGGAAGAACACCAGUGGCGAAGGCGGCUUACUGGACUGUAACUGACGUUGAGGCUCGAAAGUGUGGGUAGCAAACAGGAUUA